UUGAUGUCUACAAAAAAGAAUAGGUGGACACAUACCCUGCGCACCAAAAUCUUCAAACAAUCUCUCGCUCCAUGCCUUCCCUAAUCUACAUCUGUAAUCUUCCAUGAUUCAUCCAAGCCCUUUCCGAUCCAACAAAUCAUUGCCCCGUUUCUCCCCAAAAAACAAUCUUCUGUUGGCCACAUGAAGAACAACAAUUGGAGCUCUCGACGGGAUGCGAGUAUCUAUCAGGUGGAUCCUCCCACCGUAACUUCAGAAUAGCUCCGGUUGCAGAGACGCUGAUCGAGAGCCAUGAAGAAAGCUGCGGGUCUCCGUAUGAAAGAUGCACCAGAUCCCCUAAUUUGGAUGUUGAAUCUGAGUCCUCGACGUCGGAUUCAGGAUUCCCCACUCCCAGCAGCCAACGGAGAUGUUAAAUCGAGUAGCCCCAUCUCCAACAAAUCCGGAACAGAGCCAUGUUCAUGGCAGAGAAGGAAUAAACAAUCAAAAUAAAAGGUGGGCCACACAGCAAGGAAUUUGAGAAACCAUCCAAUGUGGUUAAAAAAAACAAAUAAGCAAUGUAACAAGCAGUGGUGGAGCUACCAAAAAAAUAUUGGGCGGGCCGGAUAGUAUAAAGAGUAGUAACAAAGUAAAAAAUCUAUAUUGUUGUGGGCUAGACUUCAUAUAAAACUUUAUUUGCUUCAGCCAAGGGCGGGACAUGGCCCUUUCAGCCUUGCUGAAGCUCUGCCGGUGGUAACAAGGUGAUCUAUUAUUAAUCGUGAAUCUUAUUUUGGUAUCACAAGAAUGUUACUACUAAAAAGGCAGUACUUCCAAUUAGCCACAAGAGGUUCCUAAUUGAUUUUAGCUUGCACCAGAAAACAAUAUUUUAAAUUGUUAUCUUCUUGAAGCAAAUCCAUACAAUGAGCCAAAAAAUGGCAAGAUUGGAAAGGAGAAUGAAACCGCAAGACAAGAAAAAUAGAGUCUUUUUUGAUCAUACAUGGGGAUGUCCUACACUACAUAACUACACCAAAAGAACAACCUUUAAUCUACGUGAAGUAAUAAAAUCUUCACAAAGUUUUACCCUUAUGUGUAUUAUCAUCCAUGUGAUUCUAAACUUUACCAGUAAUGACACACAACUGAUAGUAUAGUAUACAUGAAGCAAACAUUAUGUACCUUGCUUAUGCUUUGCACAUCAACUAUGCUAUCUAUGUGCCCAAAUCUUUCUAAACAUAAAAUAUUCCUUCAUUAACUCCACGAUUUGAUGUAGUAUAAUUAUAUCUCACAAAUUUUACCAUGAACAAGAGGUUAUAAACUCCGGUGGCACAUGCAUUUCCAUAUCUUCAAGCGGGGCUAAUUUAAAUUGCUCUAUUAAAUCACAGAAACAUGUUACAUUUGGUUAUGCCUGUAACUAUGAAGUAUGCUUUCAAAAAAUAAUUAUAAAACACAUGCACUCUGUCUAAACCAAUAUUGAGGAAAGAAUGUUCCAUUGCCACAAGGAACAAUGUCCUAUACAAAUGUUCAAAUGUACAUUGACUGCGACCACGGGUAAUAAAUUGCUUAUGAAGGAAAUUCCAUCUCUUAGUUCUACUAAUUGGUAUUUAUGUUUACGAAGGGCAAUUAACAAAAUGGAUAAAGCUAAAGAGACAAGACUACAUAGGAAAAUAAAAAUAGAAAGCACAAGGGUUGCAGAACAAUCGACAAAAAAGGGCACUAAUCGGUCAGACUGGUGAGACUAUGAGGUAAGCAACAAGAAAAUAGAAUCAACAUCUAAAGUUUGGACAUUCGUGAACCCCAUAUUUCUGUUAUGUACAUGUACAUGAAUAAAAGUAAGAAAAAUUGUGCUACAUCAAUAUCAAGCAGAAAGAAAUAAACACCAGAUACAUAAGUUCUAUUGAUUUUUCUGAAGUAUUAGAAAUACAAGACAAUGCUAAUAUUAAAUUGAUGCUAAAUCGGAAACUUGGACAGGAUAUCGGAAAGGACUAAUAGGAAAACCAAGCUCCAAGUGUGACCGAUGUGGCGCAAUUUUCUGGUACGAAGAAAGAACUUCAGGUAGAGUGAAAAGCAUGCCAUCUUUCGGACUAUGAUGCCAACAGGGAAAGGUUGGUUUGCCACCAUUCAGAGAGCUACCGACUUACCUUGCAGAAUUGCUAAGGAAAGACAAUAGAAACAGGUCAAAAAAAUAUACACAAAAUAUCAGAUUGUACAACUCCAUGUUCGCUUUCACGACAAUGGGAGGGAAAAUAGGAAAAAAAAACAAUAGCAGUAGGUCCUAUGUUUUAGAAUGAACGGGCAAAAUUACCACAGAAUAGGCACUCUACUACCUGAAGGUAAAGACAGACCACGCUGGGCACAGUUGUACAUCUAUGACACUGAAAAUGAGGUAAGAAACAUGAUUAAGGCGUCGACGUCUGAAGAUAAAAUGGAGUCAAUAGAUGCUCACAUCGUCGAGGAACUUAAAAUAUGCUGGAUAGAGAUAAUAUACUUGCAAAAACAUUCAGAAUGGCAAGGGACAGAUUCGAAGAAGGUGACUAUCACAACAUGAGAUUAAAACUAAUCAAAUUUAUGUUUUAUAAAAUCUGAUAGUUUUUUGUUACAAGUCAUAGUGCAGAUAAAAAAGUUAGGCUUGAUAAGAAGAAGUUCUCCAUUUUCUCCAUCUUAUUAGGUGUAUGCAAAAUAUGAUGCAGGUGCUGUUUUGGUAGUGGAACCUUUCUACGUGUAUGUUUACCUUUCUCUAUAUUAUCUUCCAUAAAAGUAUUGUAACACAAUAUCAAGUGCAUACCUUUUGCUCCCAAGCUUCGAAUAGCCAAAUAAUUCAGAAUUAAACAAAUAAAAAUCCUCCUUUAAGUUUGAGAC